GGUAGUGGAAGGCCUGCCAACGGGGAAACCCUUAGGGGUUUCAACUGAGGAAAGUCCGGCCACCCUCGCUUCGGCGAACAAAAGACACACUCGAAAGGGUAGCUCUCUUGAACAGAAACGAUACCUCCGGGAUGAAACGGCGGGAGAGCAGUCACUGCUUCAAUGCAGUGCGGGUGCAACUCCAGAGAGAGGCUAAGGCGAAUGCAGGUUGCUCGGUUAUUUGAGAAUAUUUCCGGGGAAACAGAAGUCGGCUUACUCUCCACUGCC
rnacentral:RNase_P_RNA from 1 species